rnacentral:rRNA from 1 species
UGAGGAAUAUUGGUCAAUGGGCGAGAGCCUGAACCAGCCAAGUAGCGUGCAGGAAGACGGCCCUACGGGUUGUAAACUGCUUUUAUGUGGGGAUAAAGUGAGCUACGUGUAGUUUAUUGCAGGUACCACAUGAAUAAGGACCGGCUAAUUCCGUGCCAGCAGCCGCGGUAAUACGGAAGGUCCAGGCGUUAUCCGGAUUUAUUGGGUUUAAAGGGAGCGUAGGCCGUGGAUUAAGCGUGUUGUGAAAUGUAGACGCUCAACGUCUGAAUUGCAGCGCGAACUGGUUCACUUGAGUAUGCACAACGUAGGCGGAAUUCGUCGUGUAGCGGUGAAAUGCUUAGAUAUGACGAAGAACUCCGAUUGCGAAGGCAGCUUACGGGAGCACAACUGACGCUGAAGCUCGAAGGUGCGGGUAUCAAACAGGAUUAGAUACCCUGGUAGUCCGCACAGUAAACGAUGGAUGCCCGUUGUUAGUUCACUUAAGAAUUAGCGACCAAGCGAAAGCAUUAAGCAUCCCACCUGGGGAGUACGCCGGCAACGGUG